UACGUAGGGUGCAAGCGUUAUCCGGAAUGAUUGGGCGUUAAAGGGUCCGCAGGUGGCCCGGUCAGUCCGCUGUCAAAAGCCCGUGGGGCCUCAACCCUGGAGAAGGCGGCGGGAGACCACCGGGCUUGAGUUCGGUAGGGGCAGAGGGAAUUCCGGUGGACGGCGGUGAAAUGCGUAGAGUAUCGGGAAAGAACGCCAAGGGCGAAGGCACUCUCGACUAGGCCUGAUUCGUGACUGACACUCAGGACGAGAGCCAGGGGAGCGAAUGG
rnacentral:rRNA from 1 species